rnacentral:misc_RNA from 1 species
GAUGAAGAACGUAGCGAAAUGCGAUAAGUAAGGCGAAUUGCAGAAUUCCAGUGAGUCAUCGAAUCUUUGAACGCACAUUGCGCCCUUUGGUAUUCCGAAGGGCAUGCCUGUUCGAGCGUCAUUAUCACCCCUCAAGCCCUCGGCUUGGUGUUGGACGGUUUGGUGGAGGCCCCCUCGGGGGCUCCUGCCCCUCCCAAAGACAAUGACGGCGGCCUCGUUGGACCCCCGGUACACUGAGUUCUUCACGGGACACGUAUCGGACACAUGGGUUUACGGGACACGGUCUGCCUCCCCUCAGGGAGAAUCUUUCUAAGGUUGACCUCGGAUCAGGUAGGGAUACCCGCUGAACUUAAGCAUAUCAAUAAGCGGAGGA